rnacentral:rRNA from 1 species
UUGUGCCAGCAGCCGCGGUAAUUCCAGCUCCAAUAGCGUAUAUUAAAAUUGUUGCAGUUAAAACGCUCGUAGUUGGAUAUCUGUCGUUUGUUGAUUUGGUCCGCUCUGCGUGUACCUUUCGACAGCGGCAUUCGUCUGCGUUGCUUCUGCAAUGCAGACCGUUCACUUUGAGGAAAUUAGAGUGUUCAAAGCAGGCUUACGCCUUGAAUACUUCAGCAUGGAAUGAUCGAUAGGACUUCCGUCUUAUCCGUUGGUUCUAGGGACGCGAAGUAAUGGUAAAUAGGGUCGGUUGGGGGCAUUCGUAUUGAACAGUCAGAGGUGAAAUUCUUAGAUUUGUUCAAGACGAACAACUGCGAAAGCAUUUGCCAAGGACGACCCCAUUAAUCAAGAACGAAAGUUAGGGGAUCGAAGACGAUCAGAUACCGUCGUAGUCUUAACCAUAAACUAUGCCGACUAGAGAUUGGAGGUUGUCUUUUGACUCCUUCAGCAUCUUCAGAGAAAUCCAAGUUUUUGGGUUCUGGGGGGAGUAUGGUCGCAAGGCUGAAACUUAAAGGAAUUGACGGAAGGGCACCACCAGGAGUGGAGCCUGCGGCUUAAUUUGACUCAACACGGGGAAACUCACCAGGUCCAGACAUAGGUAGGAUUGACAGAUUGAUAGCUCUUUCUUGAUUCUAUGGGUGGUGGUGCAUGGCCGUUCCUAGUUCGUGGACUGAUUUGUCUGGUUGAUUCCGAUAACGAGCGAGAUCUUAACCUGCUAACUAGGUAAGCGAUCCUUGGAUUGCUGUACCUUCUUAGAGGGACGUUGCGUUUUUAGCGCAAGGAAGUUUGAGGCAAUAACAGGUCUGUGAUG